CUUUGCCCAUGAAGCCAUAAAAAUAUAUAAAUCCCAAGAAUGACAUUUCUUAACGAAUUAUCAACAUUCACAACAUUUCUAUGAGGUUGGCUGUGGCUUUCCACUGGGCUAUGGAUUUACAGUGAAUACUUAUAAUAUUAUGUUGCCUGGGCAUCUAUUUUGAGUAUCAGAUUGUCUUGUACCAGGAGCAGAACACAGACAUCACUCACCAAAUUUCCAGUUCUCAGCUCUCUCCCAGUUACUGAAUGUGGAAGGCAAGGUACUUCUAUGGAAGGGUGUGCUCUCACAGAUGGAGCAAUGAUGGAAUAUUUGAUCCAUUCCAACCAGGCGCUUGCAUCUUGGUGUCCUGUCUUAAUUGCCAAAGGCUGACUGUUGGGGUGAUCAGACUCAACACUAGGUCGUGGGGGCAACGAAGUCUGGUGGAGUCAAAGAAUUGAGAAAAGACAGAGAGAGAGAAGUGAGGCCAGGGGACCAUCAUGAUUGUGGAGGCUGCAAAGGCCCUGAGCUCUAGGAGCCCACGCUAUUUAUUGGUAAUCCAACAAAGAAACAGGUGGUGAGAAUGUGGAGGUCAAAAGGGUGCAUUGCAUUAAGCACAUGAUUUACAGCUGUGAUGGUUUAGCAUUUGCUCUUCUACUUGAGAUAAUGGAAAGCAGGUUCUUUUAACUCAAGAUACAAUCGAUCCUGGAGAGCAAGGAGCAAGGAGCCAGCAAGUCUAGUCACAUUCCAGAACCAUGAGCCCUGGAUUCUAUCCAAGCUAUGAGGGAUUUUAUGCCCUGGGCUUAGAUUAUGGUGUGUCAGGGUAGCCUUCCACCCUUUAGCACAGAGCUUGAUGUUCCAAAGACCACAAGGGGUUUUAGACCUGGGACCCCGGACAUAUUCCAAGACUCUUUUACAUUAUGUCAGACAUGCAAGUCCUGCCUCAGCUUCUCCCAACACUCAGCUUUUUCCCAACAGCUGACUAGUAUUCAAUUGUGUAAAUAUACUACAUUUUAAAAAAUUUAUUUAUCUGUUGAUGGAGGCAUAGUUUGCUUCCAAAUUUUGGCUAUUGUGAGUAAUGCUGCAUUGAACAUGAGAUUAUAGAUGUCUCUUUGACAUAUUUAUUUCAAUUUUUUGGAUAAAUACUCAGAAGUCAAAUUUCUGUAUCACAUGGUAGUUCUAUUUUUAAUUUUUUGAGAAAUCUUCAUUUUUUUAAAAAUAAUGGUUGCACUAAUUUACAUU